AGCGAACGCUGGCGGCAGGCUUAACACAUGCAAGUCGAGCGGGCAUCCUUGUGGUGUCAGCGGCAGACGGGUGAGUAACGCGUGGGAACGUGCCCUUCGGUUCGGAAUAACUCAGGGAAACUUGAGCUAAUACCGGAUACGUGCGAGAGCAGAAAGGUUUAUCUGCCGAAGGAUCGGCCCGCGUCUGAUUAGCUAGUUGGUGAGGUUAUGGCUCACCAAGGCGACGAUCAGUAGCUGGUCUGAGAGGAUGAUCAGCCACACUGGGACUGAGACACGGCCCGGCCUCCGACGGGAGGAGGGGGGGGGGAUUAUGGGAGAGGGGGGGCACCCUGGACCCCGCCGGGCGGGGGGGGGAAUGCGGCCUUUGGGGUGGAAAAGCUUUUUUCUCGGGAAGGAAAAUGCGGGGCCGGGAGGAAAAGCCCCGGGAAACCUUGGGG
rnacentral:rRNA from 1 species